GCUAGGAUUGUCAUCCUUCAGCAUGGUAUUUUAUUUGCUGCAAAUAUUCUAUACUAAAACAAUAAGCAUAAUGUUGAAGCAUAGCAUACUAAAUGAAGUAAAGCUGGUUGCUGCUUCAAGCAUUCAGUAGAAGAGUGAAAAUCUAUUCUUCCACUCAUGUUUUGUAAAUUUAGCUUCCGCUUCCAACAAUUUACGGAGCUUUACUAAAAAAGUAGCUUCUGUUUUUUGGGCAUCGAAGGAGCCGACGAAGGAGCAGAUACAGCAAGAUCCAGACAAAGAGCAGCAACAGCUUCUUCAAGAAAAGGCAAGACUUACUCAGCAACUUGUUGAUGCUACCACUCUCCUUGAGCAAGCAGAAAAGGAUAAAUCAAGUCUUGAAUUAGAAUAUUAUAAAAAGCUUGAAGCUCAAAUUGCUGAUAAUAAAGUAUAUGUAACUGAAAUAUUGGAGAAGAAGCAGAUUAUUACUGAAGAUUAUGAGAAACUGAAACUCAAAGUUGCUGAACA